GAUGAACGCUGGCGGCGUGCCUAAUACAUGCAAGUCGAGCGAAUGGAUUAAGAGCUUGCUCUUAUGAAGUUAGCGGCGGACGGGUGAGUAACACGUGGGUAACCUGCCCAUAAGACUGGGAUAACUCCGGGAAACCGGGGCUAAUACCGGAUAACAUUUUGAACCGCAUGGUUCGAAAUUGAAAGGCGGCUUCAGCUGUCACUUAUGGAUGGACCCGCGUCGCAUUAGCUAGUUGGUGAGGUAACGGCUCACCAAGGCAACGAUGCGUAGCCGACCUGAGAGGGUGAUCGGCCACACUGGGACUGAGACACGGCCCAGACUCCUACGGGAGGCAGCAGUAGGGAAUCUUCCGCAAUGGACGAAAGUCUGACGGAGCAACGCCGCGUGAGUGAUGAAGGCUUUCGGGUCGUAAAACUCUGUUGUUAGGGAAGAACAAGUGCUAGUUGAAUAAGCUGGCACCUUGACGGUACCUAACAGAAUGCCACGGCUAACUACGUGCCAGCCGCCGCGGUAA
rnacentral:rRNA from 1 species